rnacentral:rRNA from 1 species
CCUACGGGUGUCAGCAGUGGGGAAUAUUGCACAAUGGGGGAAACCCUGAUGCAGCGACGCCGCGUGAGUGAAGAAGUAUUUCGGUAUGUAAAGCCCUAUCAGCAGGGAAGAAAUAAAGUCCUUCGGACUUUGGACGGUACCUGACUAAGAAGCCCCGGCUAACUACGUGCCAGCAGCCGCGGUAAUACGUAGGGGGCAAGCGUUGUCCGGCUUUACUGGGGGUAAAGGGAGGAUAGACGGCAGGGACAGUCUGGAGUGAAAUCCAAUGGGUUAACCAUGGAACUGCUUGGGAAACUGUGCAGCUUGAGUGCAGGAGAGGUAAGCGGAAUUCCUAGUGUAGCGGUGAAAUGCGUAGAUAUUAGGAAGAACACCGGUGGCGAAGGCAGCUUACUGGACUGUAACUGACGUUGAGGCUCGAAAGCGUGGGGAGCAAACAGGAUUAGAUACCCCUGUAGUC